GAUGAACGCUAGCGGCAGGCUUAAUACAUGCAAGUCGAGGGGUAGCAAGAUUGUAGCAAUACAAUUGUUGACGACUGGCAAACGGGUGCGGAACACGUACACAACCUUCCUACAAGUGGGGAAUAGACCAGAGAAAUUUGGAUUAAUACCCCGUAACAUAGCGAUGUGGCAUCACAUUGCUAUUAUAGCUUCGGCGCUUGUUGAUGGGUGUGCGGCUGAUUAGAUAGUUGGCGGGGUAACGGCCCACCAAGUCUACGAUCAGUAGCUGAUGUGAGAGCAUGAUCAGCCAAAAGGGCACUGAGACACGGGCCCGACUCCUACGAGAGGCAGCCGUAAGGAAUAUUGGACAAUGGACGCAAGUCUGAUCCAGCCAUGCCGCGUGAAGGAUUAAGGUCCUCUGGAUUGUAAACUUCUUUUAUAAGGGACGAAAAAAGGUCUUUCUAGAUCGUCUGACGGUACCUUAUGAAUAAGCACCGACUAACUCCGUGCCAGCAGCCGCGGUAAAAC
rnacentral:rRNA from 1 species